GUAAACUGACACGGGAAAAUUAUAAUUAUUUAAAUCUAAUGAUCGAUGGCUAUUUCAAUUUUCAUAAUUCUAACUUGGCUUUCUUUUUUUUAACCCUUCAAGUUUUUUCCGGUCUAUAUUUAACGGUUCUUAUAACAAAUUAUGCGCUCUUUGUCCAAUUUUUACUUAAAAUAUCUUAUGUAUAAUUAUGAAAUACUAUGUAUAAGUUUAAUAUUUCCAAUGAUUCAUUACUAAAAAUAAAAACCAACACAAAUUAUCACAAAAACAAACCAAAAAGCAAUACUCCCAAAAACAAAAAUAUAAUUUUCCCGAAAAGAAAAGCAAGACCAGAAAACCAAAUUGUAAAAAGUGAAAAGCCCUCAGAUCUCAUAGCUUCAGAAUCACAGACGGCUUAAAUCGUGAUGGAACUCAUCAGAAGCCUUUCACACAUCACCAUAAAAGAUCAGCUCUAUAAAAAUAUUUAGGGGAAGGAGAAAGGGAUUUUAAAAAAAAUAAAUUUUUCUCGCUGAUUUUCAGGUGAUGCAGAAAGGCAACUGAUGAAUUUAAAACCAUCACAGCCUCUCAAUUUUAUAUAGAUUUUCCAUCAUCGGGCUUUUCAGAUACCAAAUAUUGAACUAAUAAAAUUUGAGGAUAACAAACUAAAAACAAAAUUCAAACUAAGAAAAUUACGAUAAAAUCACAAUAAUUUAUGCAUAAAGAUAUAGUGAGAACGCGAAGGCGUUCGGCGAAAACAAAAG
rnacentral:lncRNA from 1 species